rnacentral:misc_RNA from 1 species
CCCGAGAAUAUGGUUUUGUCCAUGCAUCUGCCAUUAGCAAAGAUGGUGGAUGAGGAGCUCCCUUUAGGACGUUGUGGUGGAUAUCAGCUUUUCCUUUCUCAAUCUGUGCAAUUUCCUCCCUAAUGGAGAUGAGUGUAUCACAGAAUCUGUCCAACUCAGCCUUGCUUUCACUUUCAGUGGGUUCAAUCAUAAGGGUGCCUGGAACAGGCCAUGACAUUGUUGGUGCAUGAAAUCCAUAGUCCAUGAGACGUUUGGCAACAUCCUCUGGCUCAAUCCCAGCAGUAUUCUUAAAGCCUCUCAAGUCCACAAUGAAUUCAUGGGCAACUGUUCCAUUUACACCACGGAAAAGAACGGGGUAGUAAUUCUCCAAACGCUUUGCCAUGUAGUUUGCGUUCAAGAUGGCAAUCUUCGAAGCUUCCAUCAAUCCUUUAGAACCCAUCAUUGCUAUAUAAGUAUAAGAUAUCGGCAAGAUAAGUGCAGAGCCCCAUGGUGCUGCUGCAAUGGUUCCCAAUGGCUGAGUUUUAUCAGCGGCUGGUAUGCCACCCGUAGAUACCACAGGAUGUGAAGGUAGAAAUGGUGCCAAGUGUUUCUUCACACCAAUAGGACCCAUGCCAGGGCCACCACCUCCAUGUGGAAUGCAAAAUGUUUUAUGGAGAUUGAGAUGGCAAACAUCAGCUCCAAUAAAACCAGGACUUGUCAGACCCACCUGUGCAUUCAUGUUAGCCCCAUCCAUAUAUACUUGACCUCCAUUGUC